UCAGGAGGAAACUGGCACUUGCCGCGAGCCAGAGUCACUCGCUCCCCCACUCUUAUUCACUGACCGUUGGGCCCAGGACUAGGCCAGGCCCACGAGUCAGUCAGUUUGUGCGGAAGCGCGGCGUUGUCGCCCGUGUCGAGAUCGGCCGGCGCCAUUAGCACGAGUCGCUGCGACCGUGCGACGUCGCCGCCGGCGCGAGACGGGAGGCGCUUUGCUUCCCAUGGAGUAGUAUAAACAGCCGUCGCCAGUCGCAUUCCAUCCGCAGACGAGGGAACAAUCCACACAUCUUCCAGUGCUGUGCCUGCCGUCGAACCCGCCGCCGGCGCCCGCGACGAUGCCUGACCAGGAGGCGCCCACCCAACUCCCCCACUCCCCCGCCGGGACCCAUCCCCCGGCAACGCCGACACAGCCACCUCCACGAGCCGCUGCGGCCAGCGCUGGGAGAUCGCGUCUCCUCCACCUCGCAUUCCUCUGCGUGGUUCGUGGAUUCCUUUGUGGCAGCCGCUGAGUCCUGCCUGCCCGCGUCCGCCGUCGCCGCCACGGUCCUGCUCCUCGCGGCGUGCUUCCACCUCACGCUCCACCUCGUCCACUCCUUCGCCGUGCCCUGCCCCCCGCCCCCCGCCGUCACCGCCGUGGCGAAGGCCGUCACUGUUGGGGUAGGGGUCGCUUCGUGCCUUCACGGUGCCUGUGGAGCUCCCCAGGGUUACACAACAGCUUAUAGCUGAACGAGGCUCGGCUUCGGUAGGAUCGAUUCUAACAAGUCACACACUGUAUUCAAGAGAAGGGGAAAAACAUGUUGGACCGCCAAAUAUGUUCAAGUAUAUGCAAUCGAAAUUUGGGUGACACCUUUGUGAUGUCCAUUUCAAUUUGGCACAAUCAUCGACCGACGACAAUGCGUAACAAACCUUCAGUUCUGGUGGUUGCAUUCCUAUUGGGUUAUCUCUUGUCUCAGCUGGACGGAUUUGGCAUUCAUCCAAGAAUCUUCAGAGUUUCAGUCAGGUCAGAGCUGCCCAUAACACACUGGGCCAGCUAAGUUCAGAAACAUGGCAUCUUGGAUGGUUCAACUGGUCAAAAGCUAAAGAAAGUCUGAAGUUACGGGUGGCUUACCGAGUCGAGCAAGAUGUUGGAGGCCUUGAAGUCGCGGUAGAUCACCGGCGGGUCGGCAUCGUGGAGAAAGGCAAGGCCCUUGGCCGCGCCGACAGCGAUCUUCAUCCUUGUCAUCCACGGGAGAGAGCCAUUGGUACCUGAAGAUGGUAGGAUGUUUCAGGAACGAGUGAACGACUGGUCGAACCGUACCUGAAAUAAAAUUGACAGAAAGCGCAGGGCCUUUUAGCUAAACCAUUCACCUUGGGAAAUUCCAAUUUGGACUUUGUGCAAGCCGUUCUGGUGAAAAGUAGAGUGAGUUGCUCUAGGGACUGGAAGUUUCAAGAUCAACAAACACAGAAGAAGAGAACGGCCUGGUAAGCUGAAUAUUUUUUCUUAUAAACACCCGAGUUGUUACUACCUGUAUCUUUAAGAAAUAGGCGAAAUUCAAGGUAGCACACCCGUUUUACCGGUCAAAAUUAUACGUUACUCCGUUUUACCGAGUAAACAUGAUAGAAGUUCCACAGUAGUCCAAAGCCAAAACAGAAUUUCGCUUA